GACGAACGCUGGCGGCGUGCUUAACACAUGCAAGUCGAGCGGUAAGGCCCUUUCGGGGUACGACGAGCGGCGAACGGGUGAGUAACACGUGGGUGACCUCGCCCUCAGCUCUGGGAUAAAGCCUGGGAAACUGGGUCUAAUACCGGAUAUGACUCCAUGACGCAUGUUGUGGGGUGGAAAGCCUUGUGCGGCUGAGGAUGGGCCCGCGG
rnacentral:rRNA from 1 species